rnacentral:rRNA from 1 species
UACAGAGGGUGCGAGCGUUGUUCGGAAUUACUGGGCGUAAAGCGCGUGUAGGCGGUCUAAUAAGUCAGAUGUGAAAUCCCGGGGCCUAACUCCGGAAGUGCAUUUGAAACUGUUAGGCUGGAGUGAUGUAGAGGAUGGCGGAAUACCCAGUGUAGUGGUGAAAUACGUAGAGAUUGGGUAGAACACCGGUGGCGAAGGCGGCCAUCUGGGCAUUAACUGACGCUGAGGAGCGAAAGCGUGGGGAGCGAACAGG